GAAUUCGCCCUUAGAGUUUGAUCCUGGCUCAGGACGAACGCUGGCGGCGUGCUUAACACAUGCAAGUCGAACGAGAAUCUGCUGAAGGAGGAUUCGUCCAACGGAAGCAGAGGAAAGUGGCGGACGGGUGAGUAACGCGUGAGGAACCUGCCUUGAAGAGGGGGACAACAGUUGGAAACGACUGCUAAUACCGCAUGACGCAUAGAGGUCGCAUGAUCUUUAUGCCAAAGAUUUAUCGCUUCAAGAUGGCCUCGCGUCUGAUUAGCUGGUUGGCGGGGUAACGGCCCACCAAGGCGACGAUCAGUAGCCGGACUGAGAGGUUGAACGGCCACAUUGGGACUGAGAUACGGCCCAGACUCCUACGGGAGGCAGCAGUGGGGAAUAUUGGGCAAUGGGCGCAAGCCUGACCCAGCAACGCCGCGUGAAGGAAGAAGGCUUUCGGGUUGUAAACUUCUUUUAAGAGGGAAGAGCAGAAGACGGUACCUCUAGAAUAAGCCACGGCUAACUACGUGCCAGCAGCCGCGGUAAUACGUAGGUGGCAAGCGUUGUCCGGAUUUACUGGGUGUAAAGGGCAUGCAGCCGGGUCUGCAAGUCAGAUGUGAAAUCCAUGGGCUCAACCCAUGAACUGCAUUUGAAACUGUAGAUCUUGAGUGUCGGAGGGGCAACCGGAAUUCCUAGUGUAGCGGUGAAAUGCGUAGAUAUUAGGAGGAACACCAGUGGCGAAGGCGGAUUGCUGGACGAUAACUGACGGUGAGGCGCGAAAGUGUGGGGAGCAAACAGGAUUAGAUACCCUGGUAGUCCACACUGUAAACGAUGAAUACUAGGUGUGCGGGGACUGACCCCCUGCGUGCCGCAGUAAACACAAUA
rnacentral:rRNA from 1 species